AAGGGAGUGUAACCCAAAAUAAAAUAUAAUCACUUCACCAAUUCUCCAAAAGCUUAGUAUACAUAUAGCCAAAAGUCAACUUACAUAACAAGAGUUGAACUUAUAGGUUUAAACUUACAGGAGUCAAAAGUAAGGUCUACUUAAGUAAAAGGUUACACUCUCAAAUACAAGUCCAAAACAAUGUAAAGCUAAGGAAGCUCUUGAUCAAAUCCAUCCCUGAUCUGUUAAGGAAAACAAAGGGAGUGGGGUGAGCUAACGCCCAGUGAGGUUCCAAGUGAAACGAUUAAACACAUAGCCAAAUAAGGUCACAAAAUAAUUAAAUACACUCCGUACAGUAAGACAGUAAUUUAAUCACAGUUCAAUUAAAGGAUACGGGUGGCUUUCAAAAGCCAAUAACCACUGGAGCUUGAUCAUAACUGGAUCCGUUGACUCUCUGUCAACGUUUGUAUUCAUAAAAUGCAAGUCCGUAGAACAGCGCUUUCACCAGUCUCCGUCCACCAAUCAACCCCCUACCGGGCCCGCACGCCACAAACAGUAGUUUGGUAAUACUCGAGUAUACCAGGAAUCCAAGAUUCCAAAGAAACAGGAUCAAGUCGAGAAUUUUACCACUGGUGGUGCUGGGCAACACAACAAGCAAGCUCAACGGCUAUACUUCACCAGGGACCUCCAAACAUCAGUCCCCAAGGUUUAUCGGCCUUCUCGACCAAGCCCUUGCUGACUCGAUACAACCGACUCACCUAAGAGGUUGGGUACCCAAACAGUAGCAGUAGUUGAUGGGAUAUCACCCAAACAACUCAAACACAGUCAUGUAUAUAGCGAAAUCUCAUCUCAUAAUAACAGUAUACAGAGGCUCAUUGGAAAACAAGGGAGGUCGAGUGCGAUAAAGUACACGCUCGCCUCUAUUUUAUCAAAACAGUAUUUGGCUCCAACAGUCAUAAAUCAAGUAUUUCAAAUAUUCAGAUAUUUCACAUAACGGGUAGCAGGUAGUGGAACACUCACCAAAGAUGUAGUGCCUUUACGGAUCACGGUAAGGUAUUACUCUUUGUGUGGAGUUCAACUCUGCGAUAAAACGUCAUUUAAGAACUUGAAAUCAAUUAGGGUUCAAGUUUCUUUUAAAGAAAAUCAACUAAUUGAAACUCAUUUUGGAAAUAUUCGUAAAACUCAUGCUCGCUCUUAAAACUUUGAAACUUUGAAGCGAUUAAACUUUGAAAUUCCCAUUUGAGUCGAAGAGAGGAGGAAAACAUAUUUCUAUUAAUCGUUACUUUCAUUUUUCCAAGGUUACAAGGUUCGGCCGAAUUCUAACUUAUAUACCUCUAUGAGCGAAGACUUGAAUACCCUAGACGAUUCGAGUUCAAUUCGACCUCAAAUCUUCACUCAAACUGCGAGUAUACACGUCUCACCUUCCAGUGAAAAUUUGGGCAGCAUACCCCUUUGUAUUUAGCUAUUUUUUAGCCAUUUAUGGCUUCAUUAUUUUUCUCAAUUCAGCCCUAAAAUCACACACAAAUAAUCUUACCACAAUAGCCUUUCACUUGGCUCAAUGCCAUCCACACACAAGACAAUUUUAGCAUGUAAGCUUCACUUGGAAAUUCGGAAAUGGUGGCUAAAAGCUAAGUACAAGUCUUGACCGCUUUAAUUAAGGUAACUUGUUAAAAGAGUAAAACUUUGAGGAAAUGAGAGAUACAUUAGCGAGAGAAGUUCAAUAGGGAUAUAUUUGUUGUCAAGGAAGUGGAAAAAUCAAGGUGAGAGGUUGGAAGUAGGCCGUCUGAGGUUUUAAAGUCAAGAAGCCCGUUUCUAUGCUUCAGGAAUCUACGGAGAUGAAUAGUAACAGUAAACUUUAAAAAUUCGCAAUUCGAGUUCCACAAAUCAAACAAUUAUGAAAGUUGUACUGUUGUAAAAUAGAUUUUUAGUACUAUCACAUCCCAGAAGACACUUUUCAGAGAUUCAAAUCACAAAUAGGCCAAAUAUUCGAUCCAAGUCAAAAAUUCAUUUUCCUGAAGAAACAGGACAUUCAAGCAGGACAGCCUACUUUGAGGAGUCACGGACAGCAUUACACAUGGAGGAAAAAUAUGAAUUUUUUACAGAACAAAGUCCCAUGAUUCUAGUUUCAAAUGCCACUGACGGCACCUCAAUCGGAUUUUCCUACACCAAGAUAUAAGCAUUUUACUGAGACUGGUUAGUGAAAUCCGAAAAUCUGGAAACUCAUUUUUCACUUGUGAAAAACUCCUUUUUCUCUUUUAAAACCACAAGACUUUUAUUCAAACCAUCCAUACAUUUAAGUAUGACAUUCAUACCAGCAAUUUUAACAUAAUUUAAGCAUCAAAUUUCAACAGAAACCAAAGAAAUAUACAUAUAUUCCAAGUUUAUAAACUUGUAUAAUGUUUAAACUAAUAUACUUUCUCAAUCCAAUAUUAAUUAUGGCUUAUAAAUACUCCAUUUUCCCUUUUAAGACUAACUAAGCUCUAGGUUGUUUGUGAAUUAAAUUUUGUUUCACAACCUUAACUUCUCAAGUUUUAUAGUCUCUUAAAUAUUAUAAAAACUAAUUUAAGUGAUUAGGAGCCAUUUCGUGUAUAUAGCCAUAACAAAUUACCUUAGAAUUUCUAAAACAGUAUAUAAGUCUUCAUCUCAUUACCAAUUCAACCAUUCAACAUAAUUCAGCCAUAUUACUUCAAAAUCCAUUAGGUUUGGUAGCUCUUAAACAAGGUUAAUGUACAUAUAUAAAUUUUAAGAUCUUAUAAAAUAUUUGAGCUAAGAUUAAAUCAUUUCAUUCUAAUCUUAAUAAUUAAAGCUGAUGGAACUUUUAUUUCUUCCCUUUAGACUGAACUAGACUCUAGUUUGCAUGUUAUUCUUAUUUGUUCCACUUCACUAGCCCUUCAAGUUUUAAAUUCUUUAAAGUAUUCAAAACAAGGUUAAGAUGCUACAAACGGAUAUAUAUAUAUAUAUAUUUAUAUGUAUAGUUACAACAAACUAUCUUAGGCUUUUGUUUAAAAACUUCAACGAAAGUUCAUCUCUUCCCUGUUUCGGCCAACAAGUAUAAGUUCCAGCAAUAUCAUUCAAAUUGUUCAACAAAUCUCCAUCUUAUACUUGCUUGAAAUGCUAAACACAUAGCUCAUAAUUUGCCCACUCAAACUAGAACAAAUAACACACAAUUUUAGAAAAGAAUCCCACCUAAAGCCUCAACUAAUUCGGCCAGCAACACAUUACAAUUUCCAGCAGUAUAGCAAUUUAACAUAUGGUGCUUUCUCCAUAAUUUUCUUCAGUUUUAACUCCAACUCAUCAUGCAAAAGAUGAUUCUCCAACUACAAAGUAAACUUGAUCAUCAAUAUAAAAAUUUUCAGCCAGAAUUUCAAAGGAAAAACUGAUCUGAAGUCUAUUUCUCUCUCUCGGUCAAGCUGUGAUUGUUUUUGGACAGCAAUCAGUUUUUAAACAAGAAAUUUCUCCAUUAACUACUUCAGUUCCCAUUCAACUCCAACAUGCAUGCUAAAACUAAAAAAAAUUAUGCAAGGUAUUCAGCUUCAACGUAGGAAUUUGGAACCCAAAAAUCUGUCAAGAAAAUUGGAAAAUUUCCUUACUUCAUCUCUCGGCUAGCUAGACAGAACCACCGGUUAAUUCUUGCAAAUAUUCUCACUUAAGUUAUCAACUCUGCUUUAGUUUCUCAGAUAGCACAAAAGUGUAAACAAAUAGCUUGAAUUCUUAAAUGAAAAUUGUUCCAUAAUCUCAAAUGAUAAGCUACAUAUCCAGUCCCUUUCUCUCGGAUGAUGCUAUAAGAAUUCCAGCAGGUUUCUUUCUUUGUUUUCAACUCAAAGUUCCAACUUUCACAAGUUCCUAUAGCUAAAUUUCACUUUAUGGGAGAUUUAAACAUUGUCAUGCAUUUACUACAACAUUCUUCCAUUUUUCCAUUGACAACAGGUUGUAACUUAAUCAAUCAUCUCUCGGUUCCAACAGGUUCAGUUCAGUUUCAAUUUUAAUCUUAAACCAGAACUUUUCUUCAGUAGAAACUCAUUUUCCCCUGCUAAAACUUAACUUGCGGCUUAUAUAUAUUCAUUUAUACUCAGUAAAUAAGGAUUGAUCACAGAAAAUUUACCUCUAUCUUUCAAGAUUUAAAAGUUGCAGACCAGGCAGAUUUCUUAGCUUCGGUUCCUCAAGGUCGGCACCAGCUCUCCUUCUUUUUUUUAUUUACUUCACUCUCAUUUGGUUGAGGCUGGUAGGUGAAGUAUACCACCAAGAUUUCACUCCCUCUCUCUCACUUUUGGCUCACGGUUUUGAGGUUGCAAGCUGGAGAAAUGAAGCUAGCAAAUGUCUAACUCUCUCUCCCUCACUCUCUCUCGGUUGCAAGCUGAAACAGAAAGGAACCAGAAAUAUUUUCCUCUUAUACUCACUUAUCUCUCUGUUUAGAAGGCUUAAGAAUUAGAAGAAGG
rnacentral:lncRNA from 1 species